rnacentral:snRNA from 1 species
GUGCUCACUUCAGCAGCACAUAUACUAAAAUUGGAACAAUACAGGGAAGAUUAGCAUGGCCUCCGUGCAAGGAUGACACACAAAUUCGUGAAGUGUUCCAUAUUAAA